rnacentral:rRNA from 1 species
CCUACGGGUGGCAGCAGUCGAGGAUUUUUCUCAAUGGGGGCAACCCUGAAGGAGCGACGCCGCGUGGAGGAUGAAGGGCUUCGGCUUGUAAACUCCUGUCACCGACGAACAAGGCAUCCGGUUGAACAUUCCGGAUGAUUGAUGGUAGUCGGAGAGGAAGGGGCGGCUAACUCUGUGCCAGCAGCCGCGGUGAUACAGAGGCCCCGAGCGUUGUUCGGAUUUACUGGGCGUAAAGGGUGUGUAGGGGGUCGGGUAAGUUUGACGUGAAAGCCCGCUGCUU